UUUGGAGGCGGGAGAGAAGGCGGUUCGACUCGACCAACCCCUCCUAAAAAGGUAAGGGGGAGGGUAGUAGGGUAGGGGUAGGCUUAGGCUUUAGAACAACGGGGGGCAAGGGAUACGAGGCU
rnacentral:sRNA from 1 species